AUGGAGAAAUUCAAGGCUGUUUCACCAUGUAUCUUAAUUUGUAUAGUCGUUUUUGGUCUGCUGGUUCCAGUGUCAAUAGAACAAGCACUGAGUUCAGGUGAAACCAGAAGUCUCUUCCAAGUCCAGAAGCUUCUUGAGUAUCCUCAAGUUCUUCAGGGAUGGACUAAUUGGACCAACUUCUGUUAUCUUCCUUAUUCUCCUUCUCUCAAGAUUGUCUGCUACAAUAACCGAGUAACAGAGUUAACCAUCGUUGGAAACAAAAGCUCUCCUUCCCAUUUCUCAAAACUAACUUCCGGGAAAUUUUCACCUUCUCAACAAAGCCUGUCUUCUAACUUCAACAUUGAUGCCUUCUUUACUUCUCUAACAAAGCUUACAAAUUUGAAACUACUCUCACUCGUGUCCUUAGGUUUAUGGGGUCCGUUACCUUCCAAGAUCAAUAGAUUUUGGUCACUUGAAGUGUUGAACAUCAGCUCAAAUUUCAUUUAUGGAGAGAUUCCUCAAGAGAUCACAUCAUUGAAAAGUCUGAGAAGUCUUGUUUUGGCUGAUAAUUUGAUGAAUGGGAGUGUUCCAGAUCUCAAGAAAUUACAAUCUCUUCGAGAAUUGAAUCUGGGUGGUAACCACAUUGGUCCUAAAUUUCCCUCAAUCACCAUCAAUCUCGAAAGUAUCAUACUGGGAAAUAAUUCUUUGAGAUCUGACAUUCCUUUAGGACUCAAGAACUUUAAUCAGUUAAAACACUUGGACAUUUCUGCCAAUAAGUUUGUUGGACCAGUCCCAUCUUUCCUUUUCUCUCUUUCUUCAAUUGAACAUCUCAUUUUGCCUAAAAACCAAUUGAGUGGAGCUCUUCCGCUGAACAUAUCGUGUAGUGCUAAGCUUAGCUUUGUAGAUAUUUCUGGCAACCUUUUGAUAGGAAAGCUCCCUUCAUGUAUUGCAUCAAAGUCUUCGAACAGAAAUUUAACUGUCAUAAGUUCAUGGAAUUGUUUGUCUGCUGGGAACACAAAACUUCAGCAUCCAUAUUCAUUUUGCCAUAAAGAAGCAGUGGCAGUGAAGCCUCCACUUAAGAGAGAGAAGCAGGAAUCCAGCAUCAAACUAGGACUAAUUCUGGGUAUCCUUGGAGGCAUAGUGGGAAUUGUAGUGGUUUUCGGCUUGUUGGUUUUGGUCAUUAUCAGAAGAUCAUCAGAAACAACAGGAGCUCAAGAUAGCAAAUAUGAGAGAUCCAAUGCAGAUAAAAUGUCUGUUCGUAGCUCACCAAAACCAGCUAUUGGUUCAAGGAAAGUGCCUCAGACAAUGAGGUCAGCAGCAAUAGGGCUUCCACCAUAUCGAGUUUUCAGCUUAGAGGAAAUAGAAGAUGCAACAAACAAUUUUGACCCAACAAAUUUGAUGGGUGAAGGAUCCCAGGAACAGCUGUACAAAGGUUGUCUUAGAGAUGGAUCAAUAGUGUUGGUGAAAUGCCUGAAACUAAAGCAGAGGCAUCUACCGCAGAGCUUGGUGCAACAUAUGGAAGUGUUGUCAAAGUUAAGACAUCGGCAUUUAGUGAGUGUUCUUGGACAUUGCAUUGUUACUUAUCAGGAUCAUCCCAAUACAGCCAGCACUGUGUUUAUUGUCCUUGAGCACAUAUCAAAUGGAUCAUUACAUGAUUACCUAACUGACUUGAGGAAGAAGGAGAUGCUGAAAUGGCCACAAAGAAUGGCAAUUAUUAUUGGUGCUGCAAGGGGAAUUCAGUUUUUGCAUACUGGAGUUGCACCUGGCAUUUUUGGGAACAAUGUGAAGAUUGACAACAUCUUGUUGGAUGAGACUCUUACUGCAAAACUAAGUGGUUAUAACAUUCCAAUGCCAUCGAAUAAGAGAGGUUCAGAGAGCCCUCUCAAUGGCCAAGACGUCUCCAAUCAUCUGGGAAGCAUGGAAGAUGCCGAAAAGGAAGAUGUUUAUCAGUUUGGUGUUAUCCUUGCUCAAGUUAUUACUGGAAAGCCGAUCAAAUCCACUCGUGAAUUGGGGGAGUUGAAGCUUGAGCUAGAGAAAUGCUUAGCAGAAUCUCCAUCAAAGUUACGGGGGGCAGCCGACCCCUCAGUCCGGGGCACUUAUGCAUAUGACUCAUUAAGAACGACAGUUGAAAUCACCACCAAUUGUCUAUGCAAGGAUGCCGCCGGUCGCCCAUCAAUAGAAGAUGUUCUAUGGAAUUUGCAGUAUUCAAUUCAAGUACAGGAAGGAUGGACCAGCAGCGGAAAUCUUAAUACUCAUUUCUAGUUUCUUCAUUACAUUUCCUACAGUAAUCGUGCGAGCGCAAUUGGCUGCCUGUGGUGCACCAAUAGUGGGUGACUCAAUGUACAUGCCAGCUGCCAUUGCAGAGAUCUCUACUCCGGGGCUUAAUCCCUUUGGCAAAUGUGCAAAACAAUACCCAACUGAGAUGGAGUGGAUUUCUUGGUACGGAAAGGAGCCUAGUGUUGCCAUUGCUCUUCAAGCAUGUCAAAUUUCAUGGCUCUCCCUGGUGGAGAUGUAAGAAAGUUUAGUUCAGGCAUAACUUGUCAAAGGCAGGAUUUGAACUGAACACAGAUUUUACAUUGGAGCAAAUUCAAUGUUGUGAAGAGAAUAUAAAACACAAUGGUGGUUACAUUAAAUAGCACAAAAAAUAAAAUAAAAAUUCUUUUCCUUUUUUCUUUGGGGACAAAAGGAAAACUCAAAUUUUGAUAAACAAAACGGCAAUGAAAGCAUGCCCUUGCUACUGACCUCCUCUCUCUUUGGGCAGUGUCGUCUAUCUUGAUAUUAGUUUUUCACUUUA